ACUGAGCAGCAUGGUUCCAAAGGACAGCAAAAGCACUUUACUGCCUUAGAAGGAGGGGAGGCUUUGCCAGGCCUAUGAAACCCUCAUCUGGAUCUGGCCUCCAGGGCAGCCUCCUGCCUGCCUCUCUGGUGAGGCUCAGCUUCUGCUCUGCCUCACCAGCUCCCCUCCAGUUCCCCUCACUCUGAGGGUGCAGGGAGCAGGGUCCCACGGGAGCAUUGGUGUGAGAGGGAGCUCCCAGCACCGAGGGAGAAGCAGGACUCACUGACCAAACCAUGUGUUUGUGCUGGAAGGGCCUCACUGCAAACAUGCUCAUCUUAUGGAAGAAGAAAGGAGGUUCAGAGAGGGAAAGGCUUG
rnacentral:lncRNA from 10 species